ensembl:lncRNA
GCACUUAGCAUCACCUUAGCCUUUCAGCACUGUUAGAGCUUCAUCCAUGACUGAAGCCAUGACAGCAGGCUCCCUCCCCAACAGAUGCCUAAGCAGAGCAGGGUGCCUGCUUCUUAGAGCGUCAGUCUGAAGUGGAUACAAAUAACUUCAGGACAUAAAGUAAAAAGUCAUGAAAAGGCACCAGAUAUUGCCAUUGGUGGAGCCAUGACAUUGAUAUCAUGUUGCUGUCUCAUGAUACAAAGGAAGGCCCUGAAAUAAUAGUUAUCGGUGUGCAAGUUUGUUCCACUGAUAGACUGCUACAUCAAUGAAAAACCAUUCCAAAGGGGAAGGCCCAUGUUUAAGCUCUGGGACAGCACCUCACGUGAUGUCCUCAGAACUAUCUUCUUCCCCUGGUUUUUUUUAGCCCAUCCUGUCCCACUGUGACACAACCCAGAGGCUGGAGAAUUUAUGUGAAAAACACUUACUAUCUCUAGAAUCUGGAACGUCUGACAUCGAGGGUGCAGUGGUAACCAGUCUGGCCCAGACUAUCAUCCCAUAGCGCCUCCAGAACUCUAAACGGGAGUGGCCUAAAGGUACCAGUCACAGGUCAGAGACUAGCACCAUGGAUUAAAAUGCAGUAAGACCUAACCACGUGUUGUGUACAAAAAGGCCGACUUUCAAUAGGGAAACACAAGCUAAAGGAAAAGGGGUGGAGAAAGGCGCCGGGUUUGCUCACACGAAUCAAAAGCCAAGCAGCUAAAGACGCAUCAAGCAAAGCAGCCAUCACAGCGAGGCAAAAGACCGUGGACAAACAGGCUUCCCCUUUGGCUCAAAGCCAUAGCGCCCCCAAGUCUACACCGCUGAGGAGAGUGCGGAGGAGGCAAACCCAGGUAUAUUUGCAGAAGAAGCGGAUAAGUUCUCUACUGCAAUUGGAGACUCAGCCCUCCCCUCUUACUGAUAGACGAAGAAGACAGAAAGGCAGGAGAACCUCAUAGACAGGCAGAGCCUCCCUCACCCGCCACCCUUCACCGUCACCAUCCACACAGCCCUGCAGUGAGCAACAGGAGAAUCUACAUCAAGAGCACAUGGAACCUUCCCAGGAAAGCAGGCGGACUCCAGAGAGGGCGCUGAGGGCAGAACUGCGCAUGCGCGCAGGACAGGCGCGAGACCCAGACCACCAACUUCAGCCUCUGCCACGGGGGAGAGACGGAGGCAGAACCUGCUGUGCCUUCCUGACCCGGCCUUGAAAGUCCCACUACCCCCUUGAUCAUAUUCUAUUGACCUCUCGUGCAGCCAGGGUUCAUGGAGGAAGAUGGCAUCAGGGUGGGACUAUUUGAGGGGUGAGUACCUGGAAAUAUCUCGGGAAUCAUCAUCUUCCGUCUCUCAGGACACUGGCUGACCGCCAGGCCCCGUGCUGGCACCAGUCCCCAUGGUGGCACCAGGCCCCAUGGUGGCCACUGACCACAUCACUGAGUCACUGGGGCUCGUCCCCACUGGCUUCCUUUUUUCUCUCCAAAACAUUUUCCAUGUAAGCCUUGAGCGCUGUCUCUAGCACAGUGCGCGCUCGCGACCCUUUCUGUGUCGGGGCGAGUGUCCCAAGUGUGUGCUGUCCU